UGGCUCUUUCUGAAGAAGGAGACUUUGAAGCUGCCAGGAGACUGGGACCUGACUUCCAUCAAAAUCGUCUUAAGGAAGUGGUAGAGGCAGUGAAUAACAUUGCCCUGGUGGACAGUGUGUUUAUCCAUCACUCCCCUUCUGAACCUGAUUCCUGCAGUGCUACACUUCCUACUGGGACUUCUGCUAGACCCAAAGAGGACUCCAGUUUUAACCUCCCAAACACCAAGCUAACUCUGCCAAUGUGUGAAUUGGCCCUAUCGUCUAUAUGGACAUCCCUGGAAAGUAUUUUGCCAAGCUUCUAGGUUUUGUCUAUCACUUGGCUACAGCAGCAUCACCAACUUUGAGGCUUCCAUGAUUCCUGAGCCUUCUCAGGAUGCUACCUUGAGACAAGAUUCCUUCUACCUCCUGUACUCCAGAGCCUUCUGUAGGAAAGUUUUCGUUGGGAAACCACAUGGUGCUGUGGAAAAAGGACUAGACCUGAGCUCAGGACAGGCCAGAUUUACACUUAGUACCUACGUGAUCAUGAGCAAAUGACUGACUGCCUCUUGAAAUAUUCAUUUCCUCAUCUUCAAUAUGGAGAUAAUAACUUGUGAACACUUAACAUGGUCAUCAUCAUUAUUAGCAUUAUUAUUACUUAUAAUGAUAGUUAAUAUAUUUUCUUUAUUGUUUUAUUGUUUGCAAAGGG
rnacentral:lncRNA from 1 species